CCUACGGGUGGCAGCAGUAAGGAAUAUUGGACAAUGGGCGCAAGCCUGAUCCAGCCAUGCCGCGUGCAGGAUGACGGCCCUAUGGGUUGUAAACUGCUUUUAUACGGGAAAAAACCCCUCUACGUGUAGAGGGCUGAUGGUACCGUAAGAAUAAGGAUCGGCUAACUCCGUGCCAGCAGCCGCGGUAAUACGGAGGAUCCGAGCGUAAUGCGGAUUUAUUGGGCGUAGGCGGUGCUGUAAGUCAGUGGUGAAAUCCUGCAGCUUAACUGUAGAACUGCCAUUGAUACUGCAAGUCGUGAGUACAGAUGAUGUGGGCGGAAUGUGUAGUGUAGCGGUGAAAUGCUUAGAUAUUACACAGAACACCAAUUGCGAAGGCAGCUCACAAAACUGUAACUGACGCUGAGGCGCGAAAGCGUGGGGAGUGAACAGGAUUAGAUACCCUAGUAGUC
rnacentral:rRNA from 1 species